rnacentral:rRNA from 1 species
CGGGACACGUGGUAUCCUGUCUGAAUAUGGGGGGACCAUCCUCCAAGGCUAAAUACUCCUGACUGACCGAUAGUGAACCAGUACCGUGAGGGAAAGGCGAAAAGAACCCCGGCGAGGGGAGUGAAAAAGAACCUGAAACCGUGUACGUACAAGCAGUGGGAGCACGCUUAGGCGUGUGACUGCGUACCUUUUGUAUAAUGGGUCAGCGACUUAUAUUCUGUAGCAAGGUUAACCGAAUAGGGGAGCCGAAGGGAAACCGAGUCUUAACUGGGCGUUAAGUUGCAGGGUAUAGACCCGAAACCCGGUGAUCUAGCCAUGGGCAGGUUGAAGGUUGGGUAACACUAACUGGAGGACCGAACCGACUAAUGUUGAAAAAUUAGCGGAUGACUUGUGGCUGGGGGUGAAAGGCCAAUCAAACCGGGAGAUAGCUGGUUCUCCCCGAAAGCUAUUUAGGUAGCGCCUCGUGAAUUCAUCUCCGGGGGUAGAGCACUGUUUCGGCAAGGGGGUCAUCCCGACUUACCAACCCGAUGCAAACUGCGAAUACCGGAGAAUGUUAUCACGGGAGACACACGGCGGGUGCUAACGUCCGUCGUGAAGAGGGAAACAACCCAGACCGCCAGCUAAGGUCCCAAAGUCAUGGUUAAGUGGGAAACGAUGUGGGAAGGCCCAGACAGCCAGGAUGUUGGCUUAGAAGCAGCCAUCAUUUAAAGAAAGCGUAAUAGCUCACUGGUCGAGUCGGCCUGCGCGGAAGAUGUAACGGGGCUAAACCAUGCACCGAAGCUGCGGCAGCGACGCUUAUGCGUUGUUGGGUAGGGGAGCGUUCUGUAAGCCUGUGAAGGUGUGCUGUGAGGCAUGCUGGAGGUAUCAGAAGUGCGAAUGCUGACAUAAGUAACGAUAAAGCGGGUGAAAAGCCCGCUCGCCGGAAGACCAAGGGUUCCUGUCCAACGUUAAUCGGGGCAGGGUGAGUCGACCCCUAAGGCGAGGCCGAAAGGCGUAGUCGAUGGGAAACAGGUUAAUAUUCCUGUACUUGGUGUUA